rnacentral:tRNA from 1 species
GGGCGUAUAGCUCAGCGGUAGAGCACUGCUUUCACACGGCAGGGGUCCCAGGUUCAAUCCCUGGUGCGCCCACCA